UGUCAACAAUGAAAAAGACUCUCAAAUGUGUGAGGAGGUCUCCAUCAGUGAAGCUAUUCAAGAAGAGAGUAGAUGUCAACUGUUGGUAUGAAAGUUAGAAGAACUACGUGUGAAGCCAGAGUUCUUCAGGCAAGACCAAGCCAAGGUAGAUGUGUCUAGAAGAUCAUCCACAUAGACUCCAAGGAUAAGCCAUCUGCCAGGAAUGAAAGUGAAAACAAAGGACUUUGUUAAAAUGUGUCAGGCACUGUCAACUGCUGAUAACAAAAUCUUUGAUCAUCCUUAUUCUGGUUCUCAUUGUAACCAAAUGGCCACUAACAACUAUUUAGAACCACACAGCCAUAUGAACAUGGUUGCCUCAGACUGAGUAUUACACUUCAAUAUAUGUGACCAUCUUCUCUUACAACAAAAUCUUCACUUGAUUCUUCCUGCCACCAGAAAAUUCUUUCAGGCAUUACUUGUCGUUGCCCAAGAGCCAUAUACAUCCCAACUCCCAAUACAUGCACACACGCACAAACACACACACACACACACAGAGGUCUUCUUUGUGAAGAAUCCUGGUUUUGUUCACUUUCUGUCUGUGUGCCUUGGGAGAGCUUAGCUCCUUUCCAGCCCUGGAGGGUGAUCGUGAGCCGGGUAAAGCUUAAUUAAUAUAAACUAGUCAUGAUAAUGGUCAUAUGAUACAAUUCUAGAAAAAGUGACAUGAAAAGAAUAUGCUGGGAGACUUCUGGGAAAAUUUUUCCUUACUUUAAAAAUAAGAUAUAUCAGAGAAAACAAAUUCUUCUUUCUGCCUUUGGAGUUAUGCUGGGAGCUACUGCAGGCAUCUUGAAACAAUGAGGGACAAGUCUGAGAACAAGUACCAACACAUUGAGGAUGACAGAGCAGAAAGAUGGAAAAAUCUGGAUUCUCGAUGACAUUAUUGAGCUGUUCAGUUGUCUGACCUUGGAACCACUUUACCACUUCCACUUAUGUGC
ensembl:lncRNA